rnacentral:rRNA from 1 species
GAUGAACGCUAGCGGCAGGCUUAACACAUGCAAGUCGAGGGGUAUAGUUCUUCGGAAUUAGAGACCGGCGCACGGGUGCGUAACGCGUAUGCAAUCUACCUUUCACAAAGGGAUAGCCCAGAGAAAUUUGGAUUAAUACCUUAUAGUAAUACGACUUGGCAUCAAGAUGUAUUUAAAGAUUUAUCGGUGAAAGAUGAGCAUGCGUCCCAUUAGCUUGUUGGUAAGGUAACGGCUUACCAAAGGCAACGAUGGGUAGGGGUCCUGAGAGGGAGAUCCCCCACACUGGUACUGAGACACGGACCAGACUCCUACGGGAGGCAGCAGUGAGGAAUAUUGGACAAUGGGCGCAAGCCUGAUCCAGCCAUGCCGCGUGCAGGAUGACGGUCCUAUGGAUUGUAAACUGCUUUUGUACGAGGAAGAAACCCUUUACACGUGUGGAAGAUUGACGGUACUGUAAGAAUAAGGACUGGCUAACUCCGUGCCAG